CCUACGGGAGGCAGCAGUAGGGAAUUUUCGUCAAUGGGCGCAAGCCUGAACGAGCAAUGCCGCGUGAACGAGGACGGUCUUCGGAUCGUAAAGUUCUGUUGAAGGGGAAAAAGAGAGGAGAGAGGAAAUGCUUUCUGAUUGAUAUUACCCUUCGAGGAAGUCACGGCUAACUACGUGCCAGCAGCCGCGGUAAUACGUAGGUGGCGAGCGUUACCCGGAAUGAUUGGGCGUAAAGGGUGCGUAGGCGGCCUGCUAAUUCUGGAGUGAAAGGUACCGGCUCAACCGGUACAGGCUCUGGAAACUGGGGGGCUAGAGGGCAGGAGAGGGCGGUGGAACUCCAUGUGUAGCGGUAAAAUGCGUAGAUAUAUGGAAGAACAUCAGUGGCGAAGGCGGCCGCCUGGACUGUUAACUGACGCUGAGGCACGAAAGCGUGGGGAGCAAAUAGGAUUAGAUACCCCAGUAGUC
rnacentral:rRNA from 1 species